rnacentral:rRNA from 1 species
UACGUAGGGUGCGAGCGUUAAUCGGAAUUACUGGGCGUAAAGCGUGCGCAGGCGGUUUUGUAAGCCAGAUGUGAAAUCCCCGGGCUCAACCUGGGAAUGGCAUUUGGGACUGCAAGGCUUGAGUGCGGCAGAGGAGACUGGAAUUCCUGGUGUAGCAGUGAAAUGCGUAGAUAUCAGGAGGAAUACCGAUGGCGAAGGCAGGUCCCUGGGCUGACACUGACGCUCAUGCACGAAAGCGUGGGGAGCAAACAGG